rnacentral:rRNA from 1 species
CAGCCGCCGCGGUAAUACGUAUGUCACGAGCGUUAUCCGGAUUUAUUGGGCGUAAAGCGCGUCUAGGUGGUUAUAUAAGUCUGAUGUGAAAAUGCAGGGCUCAACUCUGUAUUGCGUUGGAAACUGUAUAACUAGAGUACUGGAGAGGUAAGCGGAACUACAAGUGUAGAGGUGAAAUUCGUAGAUAUUUGUAGGAAUGCCGAUGGGGAAGCCAGCUUACUGGACAGAUACUGACGCUGAAGCGCGAAAGCGUGGGUAGCAAACAGGAUUAGAUACCCGCGUAGUCCCUGUCUCUUAUACA